UUAUAGUUGUACUUUGUGAAUAGAGUUCUUUAUCUACGGAGUGUUACAAGCUCAAAAUUUGUAAAAAAACGGUUGGAAAGAUUGCUUUAAUUUUAAGUUGUGAAAAAAUAAAACACUUGCUGUGGCAGGAUUUUGAGAGAAAGCCCCAUGUGAGGUCAAUUUUGAUGAGGAAAUAGAAAGAAUAAUUGAUUUCUCGGAGCGCGAGGUAAUGAUUAAGAGGGACAGACGGGGGCAUUCGUACUGUGCCGUUAGAGGUGAAAUUCUUGUAUCGGCGCAAGACGAACAUUUGCCAAAGAAUGUUUUCUUUUAUCAAGA
rnacentral:ncRNA from 1 species